rnacentral:lncRNA from 1 species
CUCGGAACACCUAGAAUUACAAGUGACUAGGAGAGCUUAACUGAGCUCACAACCUCGUUCUCUUCUGUGAUCUAUAAAUAUAGAACUCUACUCACCAACUAUGUUCUCUUUUAUGUCGGCAUACCCCCAGCCCCUCAGGAUCUACGCUCAGAGGAAAAGAGAACUGGAGGCCAACUCAGCAGCCAGCCACUCAGACACUGUGAAGAGAAGUGGAAUCCUCCUUUUCAAAGAAUGGCUACCAAAGGACAACAAAGGAGAGGCCCCCUGAGAGCACAAUCAAGAACCUACAGAUAAACUUAAAAAAAAAAAAAAAAAAAAAAAAAAAAAAAAAAAGGCCUCUUGUUUUCCAGCCAGAAGGCAAAGGGCCUCUCUGCUAUCCCCUAUAAAUUACAGGUUAGUUUUCAAGGCAAGCUGUAGUUCAAAAUUUAGGUACAUGGAAUGUUUGGUCUCUUUUUUUAAGAUAACUG